AAAUAGAUGAAUAAAAUAGAAUAUGUUGAAAACCAGUACAAAAUACCAACACAACCCGACAAUCCGGUGUCACUAGUCAAGAGCCUCUAAAUACAACCCAAACUAACUGAAUAAUACAUCAUAAGUCUAAAAUAACAGAAUCCUAAAAUAGGAAGGAGGAAAGCAGGGCUGCGAACGCCGUGCAGUUACCUUGCAGUCUUCGGCAAAGCUUUGAGAGUGCUGGAAACUCUCACUCUAAUGUUCAGGCACUUGGAUCUGCACACAAGGUGCAUGGAGUAAUGUGAGUAUGCCAACUCAGUAAGAAACUAAAGUAAAUAAGGUUUGAGUGCAGUGACGAGCAAUUAAAAUCAUAUAACAAGUCUUAACAGAAAUAUCAAGUCAAAUUCUGCAAUUUAAAGGCCAGCCAUUUCGUAAAAGUUCAGUUUCGAUUAAAAGUCCUUUAAAAAUAUUUAUCCAACAUUUAUCAACAGAGACUCAGUAUAAAAGAAGAGUGAAAGCAACAAAAGUCAUAAACAAGCCCUUCGGGCAAGGUAUCACUCAUAAAUGUAGCCUCUCGGGUAAGCCUCUAAUUCACUCGUGACUCAGCUCUCGUCAAACAGUACUCACACUAAGCACUCUGGCUCAAUAAUAUCUCAUAACAAUAAUAAUCAUAAUAAUCGCUGCAGCGUGCAGCUUGAUCGCUGACUCUGGAGGGGCUCCUACAGCCCAAACAUCAUAUCGCUGCGGCGCGCAGCCCCAUCCAAUAUAUAUAUCGCUGCGGUGUGCAGCCUGAUUCAUAUGUAUAUCACUGCGGCGUGCAACCCAAUCCAUAUAUAUAAUAUCGCUACGACGUGCAGCCCGAUCCAUAAUAGAUAUAUAAUCCUCACCAUUAGGUCCUAAACCUCUCUCAGUCAUUAACCUCAUGGCCACUCGGGCAUAUCAGUGAAUAAUUAGAGAACUCGGCCCAAACAGUUUUCAUAUAUUAGGAAAUAGAGUGAUGAAACCAGUUUUAAACAAUAAAUAGGUAAAACAUAACUAAGGAUAUGCUUUCAAAUCAAAACAGAGUGAGGAAAGUAGUAAAAAUACCCCUAAGGGUCUAAACAGGUCGACACAAGGCCCCAAACACGGCAUACAACCCAACAUAUAGUAUUAAUCUCUAAAAUACAAGAUAUCAUAAGAUUUCAAACCAAAUACGCGGCUUAAUAGUUGCUACAGAAUGGACCAAGUCACAAUCCCUACUGAUGCACGCCCACACGCUCGUCACCUAGUAUGUGCGUCACCUCAUUUAUCAAAACAAUGCGAAAUACCGAGGUUUCAUACCCUUAGGUCCAGAUUUACAAUGGUUACUUACCUCAAACAGGAUGAAAUACUACUCUGUAACGCCCUUGCCUCUUGACUCGGCCUCAACUCGCAUCGAAUCUAUCCAAAAUCAGAAUCAUGACGUUAGAAUAUGCUAAGGGAACGAAGCCCACACAAAAAUAAUCAAAUUACAACACGAAUCCCCAAAUUGGCCAAACCCGACACUUGGGCCCACAUCUCGGAAUCCGAUAAAAAUGACAUCAAUAAACUCCUUAUCCUCACACGAGUUCAUACAUACAAAAAACACCAAAAUGCGACCACAAAUGACCCCUAAAAAUGAUGAAAUAACCAAAAAUUCGCGAAGUAAACCUAAUAUACUUUCUGGCCCAGGGUUUUCGCACAUGCGGCCCAUUUUACGCACCUGCGGAGCCACUUUUGUGGCCAGACGACCGCUUCUACGGUUUCCACUUAAACCCUCAAAACCGCACCGGCGCAUAAACUACCGCACCUGCGCCUUCAGCUCUCCACACCCAAUUCCGCAUAUGUGGCUUAUAGUCCGUUUCUGCGGUCCCGCACCUACCUCUUCAUAUGCCCAAACUCUCCACACUCGUAACAACUCCCCGAUGUGGGGAACGGGGACUGAAGGGAACCCUUAUCACCGAAGUGACCAGUAGAAGGACAUGGCAUGGAAGAACCCUGAACCGAUGGAGCAUGGGAUGAUCUCUGGGCUGGUAGGGCAUUGAGUGAUGAAUGGCCUUGAUGUGAGCUAUGAGAACCCUAGCCCGAUGAUGCCCCACAAGGAACUAGGCGAGUUGACUGAGCAUGUCUGAAUGGACGGUCUCUGCCGUGCUAAAACUGACCUCUCGAAGGAACACCACCAAAACUACCAGGUCCCCGAGGCCUCUUGGCCUCCAUCUUAUCUCGCUCCUGGCGACGAACUAACUCAAUCUCGCGAGCAAUGUCAACAACCUCCUCAAAAGUGGCACCUGACACCCUCUUCCUGGUCAUGAGAAUCCGAAGCUGAUAUGUAAGGCCAUCAACGAACCUCCGGAUCCUCUCUCUAUCCGUAGGAACCAACCAAACAAAACUCUAAACCAAAUAGUUGUAACUAAUAUAAUAAUAACAACUAGAAAAAAAAAUUAAGCAUGAAUGUAAAAAAUUAGAUUCUUAGCCAUGGUACCUCAAAACACUUCAACAAAUGAGUCUAAAACUCAAACAAUGGUCAAUAAGCUUUCCACUAAAUACAUAACUUCAUUCUAGCGCUCAGAUAAACAUGAUGUUUCUUUUUCAAUUAUAUGUCCAAAACUCACUUAAUUACUUUCAAACCAUAUUCAAAAGACAAGUAAAAUUAACCAUUGUGCAGACAAAAUGAAACUCCUUAAACUAAUGCAACGAGACCUGAUCUUUCAUAUAAAAUACAUGUAUUAAUAAAGUAUGUAUUUUAACAUAGUUAUUAAAGAACAAGAAAGCUGAAGCUCUUUUUUAAUUCCUUUCCUUUUACAUGUUUAUCAAUGCAUUAACUUAUCAUUUAUAACUAAGAUACAUAGACAACUAAAUAUAAACAAACAAACAAACGGAUUCAAUCUGAGGAUGCAAAGUUGAACAUUUGUUCAUUUUUCUUAUAAUAAUGUAAGGAUAAAAAUAACAUCUUCAUUAUCUAUUGUAGAAGAAAAUUACUCGAGAAGUUUGAGACAAUUACCUAGUUACAGAAUUUUAGCAGCUAAAUGACCCCCGAGUACUUAGAAACAACGAACACAGCAUAAACAAGAACCCAGCAACAACAGCCCCAAACGGACAGUAGAAAAUAGCAGUAACAGAACUCAAGAAUACCCCCGAAAAACCCAGCAAGAAAACACUUGAACUAGCAACUAGUAACCCCAGAAAUUACUUAAGAGAUCUUUUUGUCUUUCCAAAGAUUUUGCACACAAACAAUACUCACAAAAGCUCUGAAAUUUCAGCUUGCCAUAUGUGCACAACUGCUGAUUUCUUUAAGAUAUGUGCCCCUUUUUGAGUGUAAAAGAUGAUCGCUAAGUGUGAGGAAAGAACUCUUCCUUUAUAGAAAAGGAAAGAGAUUGAAUUAUUUGAUUGAAUAUGUCCAAAGGACGGAUAUCUGUCCAAAGGACAGAUUUCCACCUAAAAUCUGUCCCUUAUUCAAAGGAAAGAUUUUUGGUCAAAAAUCUGUCCAAAAGAUAAAUUUUCACCAACUAUGAACAGUGUUAGGAGCAGUGUACUGUAAACAACCUUUAAACAGUAAAAAGCAGCCAAACAAGUACCUUACACUCAAAUAUUAAGCUUUUAUCAUGACUGAAACUCAAGCUAACACACUCAUACUCAAACAAACUAUGAAUUGGCAAAGCAAGAAACAAGACUUCAAAUGUAAUUGAACUAAGUAUCCAAAUGCUAAACUAAAACUAAUCAAUUAACGAGAACUAAUAAUGGUCGAUUGAAAUAAGGAAACACCACCCAAAACAAAACUUAAAUGAACAUUAGUAAAUUAUCGAACAACGAGUAAAAUCAACUAACUAAACGACUAACUAAGUGAACGAUUCAACGAACAAAGAUAACUAAUCAACAAUGUAUUAAUUUUAAAUUCUAAUUAACAUUAAUUGACCAAAAGAGAAAUCAAAAGCUAUUUCUAUUAAAAAUCAAAAAUUAGUGAGGGAACGAAGGUCUAUGGAUUGAUACCUAAAUUCGUAAACUCAAAUUUGCUCGUCCUAACGCCACCCGGGGGAUGAAGUAUGGCCACCGAACUCCAGGUUUCUUGCCAACUCAUACACCAUAUGCCGAAAGAUGGGUCAGUGGCUUGAGGAAGCAAUAAACCGGGGGCAUGGUGGCUUAUAGAAGCGGAUAGAGGUAGUUUGGCAACGAGUGGUGGCAGUGACAGUGGUGGAUCAGUAGUGGGGUAGCCGGAUGGUAGCUUCACCAGAGAUUGGGUCAAAACCAAUACCAAAUGAUAGCCCUUGUCGAGCUAUAUACUUCUAUGCAAGCGUUGGGUGAAAGGGGUGGCUCAAUAUUCACGGAUUUGACAAAAAAGUGCGGCUAUGGCUUUUCUAGAUCUAAAAUUCGUAGUGUUUGAGGAGUUUUUGAAGGAUAUUAUUUGAAGAUAUGGAAAGAGGAGGUUGAGGGGAGUGUAUGAUGAUGACUGGGGGUGUUUGGAGGUGCUCCGCCGCCGGUGGCGAAUUGCGGUGGGCAGCACCGGGCAGAGCUGGGGGCUAGGUUAGAGAGAUGAGAAAGGGUGAGAAGAGAGAGGAAGAAGAGGGAAAAUUAAGGGGGAAAUGGGGUAAAAUUUUGGGUAUUGGAGGGCUUAAAUAUU
rnacentral:lncRNA from 1 species